AGUGAACGCUGGCGGUAGGCCUAACACAUGCAAGUCGAACGGCAGCACAGUAAGAGCUUGCUCUUACGGGUGGCGAGUGGCGGACGGGUGAGGAAUACAUCGGAAUCUACUUUUUCGUGGGGGAUAACGUAGGGAAACUUACGCUAAUACCGCAUACGACCUACGGGUGAAAGCAGGGGAUCUUCGGACUUUGCGCGAUUGAAUGAGCCGAUGUCGGAUUAGCUAGUUGGCGGGGUAAAGGCCCACCAAGGCGACGAUCCGAAGCUGGUCUGAGAGGAUGAUCAGCCACACUGGAACUGAGACACGGUCCAGACUCCUACGGGAGGCAGCAGUGGGGAAUAUUGGACAAUGGGCGCAAGCCUGAUCCAGCCAUACCGCGUGGGUGAAGAAGGCCUUCGGGUUGUAAAGCCCUUUUGUUGGGAAAGAAAAGCAGCAGGUUAAUACCCCGCUGUUCUGACGGUACCCAAAGAAUAAGCACCGGCUAACUUCGUG
rnacentral:rRNA from 1 species